CCCUUUCUUGGUACCUGUGUCUGGAUGAAAGUAGCCCAUUGGUCAGUUAGGGCCUCUGGGUAUUUUGAGGCGGGUCGCCCGAUGGGCCUGUAAGGGUUAAGUGGUAGUGUAGGGCUAACCUGUAGCCUUGAGAAAUAACAGCUUUGUUCUGACACUGUAGGUUAGGAGAUAACAGCCUUGUCCUAUCCAUCAAGGGAACAAAAGUUCAAGGAAAAUCAACUGGAUUAGCAUUUGACUGGAUUGGGGCAAGGGCAUGUCUGAACUGUUUCUACCCCCAUCUGGGAACUAUCUCUUUGUUCUGUUCCCAGGUGAUGAUAAGACGACGUGGUUUCGGCUAUAAAAACUCUGUACCCCGGCUGAUCGAGGCUGCACUCUGAUCAAGAGUGUCGGUCCCGAUCAGUCGGCCUUGCCUCUCAUUGCAAUAAACUUUGCUGGGACUGUCACUGGUGCCCGUAGCAUUCUGUUCAGGAGUCGUGUGGAUGCAACAGGCCUGGGUGUCGAGGUGGCUGUGGUCACUGAGGGCCCUUUCGCCUUGCUCUACAUGCCAUUGUUCAAGCCUGUGGCCUAGAAGCAGCCUCUACGAACAAUACGUACGACACGCUAUUGUUCGGCCUCAAAAAGUAGGAACAUUCUGACACCGGCCGUACCGCGGAUGAGCCUUGAGCACACGGUGCUCACGGAUACGAUCCGGACACAAAAGACGAUACUGUGCAAGUCCGCUUACACGAGGAGGCGCCGAGACGGAAGGCAGGACGGUGGGCGCCAGGGCUGGGGGAGGGGCUGGGGGGGUCUGUGUAUCGUGGGGACAGAGUUCCUGUUCCGGGAGAUGGAGAGUCCAGGAGACGGAGGGAGGGGUUGGCUGCACAACCAAGUGAAUGGACUCAACGCCACCGGCCUGUCCACGUAAAAUGGUCAAGAAGGUAAAAGCACGUUUCGUAUGUUUUACCGCAAGCUUGGGGUAAGAUCCAGUGUAAUGAAAGCAAGUUCCCUAUUCUCCCAGAGCCUCCGUAUCAGAUUUAGCAUAAUAAGCCCAAGUGAUGGACCAAGGGCUGAAAAACAUCCCUUUAGGACAAAACACAAAACCGGGGCUGUGGCUGGGCGUUCUGGUUCAUUCCGGAUGCUGCUGGAGGGCUGUUGCUGGCACAAGCAGAGACUGGGCCUGUGGGCGGCCAGGCUGGGUUGGGGACUGGGGCCGAGAGCCUUCCUGCCAGGGAGGGGCCUGUCCCCGGAGGUCCCCAGGGUGAGGGUGGCCUGAUGCUCAGUCUGUGCAUAGUAGUAUCUGCUCCCCUUGGGUAGACAGUGCCCAGAGGGUCCUUCUCAGCCACGCGUCCCAGCAGGCGAAGUAACUGGUCCAUGUGCUUUCUGUUCCCCUGGGGUGUGGCCACAGGGGUGAGAAGACACAGACCCUGUCGCUGUGCCGUGUCCAUCGAGGGCACACAGAGCCUCCUUCCCUCCUUUCUCCCACCCCCCAUCCCCACCCCGUUUCCGGCCCUUCACUAGCCUUUCUGCUUUCUUCCUCUGCUGUGUCCUGCCUUCUGCUGUCCGACAUGGGGCAGGGACAGCAACCUGUGUGGGUGUCCUCCCUGGCAGGCGUGCUCCCGGAUGGCAGACGUAAUCAAAUACAAAUGAAAAGCACCGAGAGGUGCACUGGUGGCCAACAUAUCUGUGACCAGGACUCCCAGGCUUGGCCGGACACUGCCGGGGGUGAGCCAGGAGCUUGGAGACGGAGCCUGGGGGCCCCUUACCUUACCUCUGGACGACGGUCAGGCAGAACAGGCACUCAGCCAAUGAGGACCUGCACUCGAGAGCAGGCUGAACCAGCGAGAGAGAUGACUUCUCUGCCCCAAAGAACACCGAUACUGGUCACAAAAACAUCCCAGAGGGUAGGAGUCCAUUUGUGCGAAAGGUCCAGAAAAGGCAGACCCUCGGAGAAAGGAGGGAAACAUCACGGGAAUGGGAUGGGACCCUAGGUGGGGGCUCAUGUCUCUCUUCUUCACCUGGUGACCUUUGCUCCUCUCCAGAGAGACACAGAGGAAACAUAACUGCACGUCGCUAGGUGGAAGAAGGCAACGUGAAGGAUCCCACCCGCGUGACCUUCUGGAAAGGGUCACACUACAGACACAGCCAAAGGAAAACCAGUGGUUGCCACGGGGUGGAGGGGAGGCAGGGAGGGAUGAGUAGGGAGAGCACAGAGGGUCUUUAGGGCAGUGAAACUAUAUGAGGCUGUACGAGGGGUGCGUGCCAUCACACGUUUGUCCAAACCCACGGAGUCCACACCACCAAGAGGGAGCCUAAUAUAAACUGUGGGCGUCAGUUAGGAAUAAUGAAGUAAUGCUCAUCCAUUCAUUGGAACAAACGUGCCCCAUGCACUGGAGAUGCUCAAAGAAGGGGAACUGUGUGGGGGGAGGGGUGUAGGGGAAUUCUAAGUCCAUACCAUCUGCUCAAUUGUUCUGUAAACUGAAGACUAUCCUAAAAAAUAAGAUCUGUGAAUUUAUUCUUUUUUUUUUUUUUAAUUUUUUAAAUGUUUA